rnacentral:rRNA from 1 species
UGGGUAAUAUUGCACAAUGGGCGCAAGCCUGAUGCAGCCAUGCCGCGUGUAUGAAGAAGGCCUUCGGGUUGUAAAGUACUUUCAGCGGGGAGGAAGGCGAUAAGGUUAAUAACCUUGUCGAUUGACGUUACCCGCAGAAGAAGCACCGGCUAACUCCGUGCCAGCAGCCGCGGUAAUACGGAGGGUGCAAGCGUUAAUCGGAAUUACUGGGCGUAAAGCGCACGCAGGCGGUCUGUCAAGUCGGAUGUGAAAUCCCCGGGCUCAACCUGGGAACUGCAUUCGAAACUGGCAGGCUAGAGUCUUGUAGAGGGGGGUAGAAUUCCAGGUGUAGCGGUGAAAUGCGUAGAGAUCUGGAGGAAUACCGGUGGCGAAGGCGGCCCCCUGGACAAAGACUGACGCUCAGGUGCGAAAGCGUGGGGAGCAAACA